UAUGGCAAUAAAUUACAAAUGAAUUAAGUGAAAAAAAAUAUGCAUAUGUAAUAGAAAGAUUUUAACGUGCAAAUUCAAAUAAAAGACACUAAACUUUUUCUGAAAAGUGCGCUCAUAAACUAGUCCUAAGGCAAACUUACUGCCAUAAUUACAUAAGGCAAGGAAGUUAAGCUAUGGGAAGAACAGUAUGCAUUUUUUCCUACUUAUUUCUGAAUUAUGAAGCGAUCUACUUAAAAGCUUUUCUGAUUAUGUAAAUUUAAGAAGCAGCUAGCUUAUGCCUUCUGUCCCAAAUACCAAGUAACAGAAAUUAAAGCUCAAUUCCUUGUUUUUCUGCUCCUGUCAAAGGUGGAGAGAGAAGACCUCUAGAGCUUUAGGCACAAAAGAAACAUUUACAAUAAAGAAUUUAGACCACAUGGUUUAGUGACAACUAAGAAGUUGGUUAAAAGUCACACAAGUACAAGAAUGACAGAGCUGUCCAAUGAGUGAUCACAGUGGGGCUUCUGACAACAGACCUAGUGCUUAUUUAUACAAGUGGAACUUAUUUUCACAUACAUUUAAGGAAUGUGGACUUGUACUGAGACAAUUUACUGCUGGCGGAAAUGUAAUUAAAGAUUGUGCUAACCAAAUAAACUGUAAUUUGUUUUUAGUGUGCCACCAAAUUAUCUGCAAAACAAAAUCCUAAUUAGGUCAGCUACUUUUAAGACAACAUUUAAAUAGGUAUCAACCCCCUUUUGGUUUAAUUCAAUUUCUAGUCAAGAGCAAUACAGUUAUUUUUUUAAAAGACAUUCAAAUCCACAAAAAUAUAUCUUGCAUGAUCCAAGCAGCCACUUGAUAUUGAGAAGCUAUGAAUAUACGUUAGAUUUGUGAAUGAUCCAAGCCUUUCUAAAUACACUUCAGGAUGCACUACUAUAUUCAUUUUUUUCUUAUCCCUUUACUGUUCAUAGGUGUUCACCUCCAGUCAUUCAAAUGUUCAGUUCCAUAUGUUGUCAAUAGAGCCAUUCACAUUUCAUGAACAAGGCAGCAUGACCUCCACAAAGGGCAAUUGAACAGAAUUAGCCACAACUAAUUGAAAGUCUUCCUGCUUUAGGUUAAAACCCUUAUCUCCUUCUUCAAUUGUAAUAAAAACUACCAAAUAAGACAUCCCGUGAUAAGAGAUUAAGUAUCAAUCUAAAACUCUCCAAUCUACUUUUAAUUAAACUAAGGUUUAAUAACACACAAAGAAUAUGCUUUUGAUGGUCAACAAUUCCACAAUUCACAAAUAAAGAUGUUAAUUAUCACAAUGAUUUAAAAGCGAUUUCUUUCUACCACCAGUAUUAGGACAUCAGGAUAGUCUACUAGAAUUGGUUGAAAACUUCGAAUUUCCAUUGCAAUUCCGCUAGGCCCAAAUCUAAGGAUUAAAGAUGAACUGCACUUUUAUUUCUUUUCAACAGAUAACUAUUUAAAAAAAGGAAACAAGUUUCAAUUAUUUGUUUACAUUUUACACGAGUCCUCUAAUUUUAACAAAACUAGGGCUGGGAGAAAAUAAGAUGACAUUUGGGAAGAAUCAGCCAGUCUAACUACAUUUUCGUCCUUGUUCUUGCACGCAGUUGGCAGUGAUUUUAGGUUUUCAGACUUCACAGCUAGCAUCCAAAAAACUUGCAUAACAGCUCCCAACACUCUCUCCUAAACCUUCUGGGCGGGCUGAGAAGCUACAGAAAUCACGCCCUUGGAUCUGAAAACUCUAGUGCCUUUCCUUCCGUAUCUAUCGAUCGGUCUUGCAACUUCUUGCUGGAACGAGGAUGUGUUACGAUUUGGUCGAGGAGGAAGAUUUAUAGAGUUUCCUAAUGUGAAAUCAAGCACAACAAAAGGAUGCCUACCAUAGCUUGGACAGUGCCCCAACUCAGUUGAGGGGGCUUUCCAAAUAAAAGGAGCGCCUUCAACGGCUGGCUAGGAACAGGAAAAAGAGCCUGAAGCAGUUAGAAACUUCAGUUGAGCCACAGACUCAUACACUCAGUGUGGUGGACUGCGAACUCCAGUAAUCCGCAGGUUGCCAUCUCUAGGAGAGGCGGGGGCGCGCAUCUGAAUCCCUUUGGAAAGCUCCGGGAGCGGGACGCAGACUCUACCCCCUGGAAUUGUCAGUGGCUCUCUCCCCUCGCCUAUCUGCCUCCAGGAGGGGCGCAAACCAGGGCCCAUCUGCGCGGCCCUCAAGGCACUGGGAGACUGAGGUUCCGAUGGAUCCAUCCCCGAGGUGAUUGGGGCCACAGGAUGUUGGAACGGAUGGCGAUAUCAGCGAUCAUCUGGGAAUACCUUCCUCCUCUACCUGUCGAAAUAGAACCAGAGAAGAUAGAGGAGAGGGAAUGCUCUUUGAAGAAAUUUGUAUGACAGAUGACAGACUGGUGAAGGAGGUAACUGACAUGAAUUCCAGCUCCUGAGCUCUUCUUUUGCUUCUUCAUGGAGAAACUGAAAAGUCAAGAAUAUCUGUCUAUUGAUAUGACUGGGAUCCCAUCGGAAAGAACUAUGUGGCUCUUGUCCAGAAUAUAAUGCUUUAGAUCAGGGGUCCUGCAAAGCUUUUUGAAGAGAAGCGGAAUGGUUGAGCAAUUGAAGCCUCAGAAUGACCAAGAUUGAUGGUUUGGUACAAGGUGGUGGGAGAGUGUCUACAGUUGGGGAGACCAUAAAUGUGAUGUGGAGAAUGUAGAGGUGGGGUAUCGACUAGACAGCAUUCAACCUCACCUCUCUCCUUUGCAUUCUGUAAGCUGCCUAAAACCAUGGCCCUGGAAUCAGUCAUAAAAAUACUGCCAGCAAAAAACUACCUCUUACAAGGUGGUCUCAGUUGCAAGGUGGUUCCAUGUGGUAAUUUAUUAUGUCUAAGCUAUGACCCAUCUAAUGUAACACCCCAGCCUCACCCUGUAAAUCUCUCUAAGAGCUCUCUUUGAUUCUUUAUAGCUUUUGCCACACUUUGUACUCAAUAUUUAAACAGUUUCCAUUAAUUGUCACCACAAUUAGAUGAUAAACUCCACAUGACAAGAACCACAUCUGUUUUGUUUAUCACCAUAUAUAUCACACAUACUAGUUCCUGAAACAUAAUAAUUAUGUAAUAAAUAUAUGAUGACUAAAUGAAUGAAUGAGUGAAUGACUAAAGCAUGUGCCAUUUUUUUUGUAACUUAGAGAGUAUUAAUACCACUUCUCAAAGUGUGAAAAUGUGACUAUAUGAACAUG